rnacentral:lncRNA from 1 species
UAUAUAACACUGAUAAUUACAUUACUUUUAUUUAAUAGUUACUAUACUUUGAUAAAAAGUUCAUUUGACACUGAUACUGUUCACGAAAAUCUUGAAAAUUCAUUAAAACUAGCUACUCUUUCUUUUCUGGCGUUCAUAACUUACGCAUUCUAUGGACGGACACCGACGUUGUGUAGGUGGUCACAUCUCUGUGUGUAGUCACAUCAAUAUGAUAACUAUGUCAUAACCUUGUGUGUACUGGAAUGUUCCAUUCCAUAUUUUGGUGGAGCACAUUGUAUUGCUAACAACGGAUUUAUUACGUAUUUUUACGUUCAUAACAACUGGACACCUCGAAAACCUGAUUGACAAUUGGUCAGUGAUAAUGUUCUUUUAGACUACGUGCUUAAUUCAACUGCUUGCUCGAUGAUAUUCGAUUAACAAUGAUUUUUUUAGUUGUAGCUCUAAUAAGAAUGUAAACAUUAAGAUAAUUUUGAUAUUUUCUUCCAACGUUUUAAUGGACACCGCUGUUAUGAACAUGAUUAGUUUUUUGACGAUAUAUUCUGACUUAACUGAAUGAUAGAAUAUGACUGUAGAACAAGAAAUGGCCAUUCAUGUGUCAGUUUUAUUCAUUUUCAUAAAGCGCUGUUCAUUAUUCACAAACAUAUUUAAUACAGAGCCUCCUAAAAAUCUAAGAUGGUGGAAUGUAACAUAUUUCCGGUUCGAAAUUUAGCCAUUUUUUUUGGAAAAAAAUGUUCAAAUAAAUAAACAUAGAAGACUUAUUUCUCCCAUCUCUGGUAUUAUCAGAUUCCUUGGUUUCUAAUCUUUAUUGCCAUAUACAGUUAUCCAGGUAAUAACAUAUGGAACAAAUAGAAAUUG